AAUGAACGCUGGCGGCAUGCCUAAUACAUGCAAGUCGAGCGGACACACAAUGAGCUUUCUCCCUUACCGUUGGCGACUGACGGGCGAGUAACACAUACAUCACCAUCUUCUAAUUCUUGGGUGACUACGGAGAAACACUUCUACUACCGCCUAAUACAAUCAACGGGAUGAUUCAAUGGUGAUACACAGCUUUCCUGAUUCUAUGAGCCGAUGCCGCACUAGCUAGUUGGCUUGGUAAAGGCCUACCAAGGCAACGAACCGUAGCUGGUCUGAGAGGAUGAUCAGCCACACUGGAACUGAGACACGGUCCAGACUCCUACGGGAGGCAGCAGUAGGGAAUAUUCGACAAUGGGCGAAAGCCUGAUCGAGCCAUGCCGCGUGGGUGAUGAAGGUCUUCGGGUUGUAAAGCCCUGUUGUUGGGAAAGAAAAACAGCAGGUGAAAAUACGGCUGUUCUGACGGUACCUAAUGAGAAAGCACCGGCUAACUUCGUG
rnacentral:rRNA from 1 species